UAAAUCAUAAAGCAUGACGAGACUCACAGGUCCUCCCCAACUAAAACCAAUUUUGAAUAGCUUAAGAGCAUCA
rnacentral:tRNA from 1 species